GACGAACGCUGGCGGCGUGCUUAACACAUGCAAGUCGAACGGAAAGGCCCUGCUUUUGUGGGGUGCUCGAGUGGCGAACGGGUGAGUAACACGUGAGUAACCUGCCCUUGACUUUGGGAUAACUUCAGGAAACCGGGGCUAAUACCGGAUAGGAGCUCCUGCUGCAUGGUGGGGGUUGGAAAGUUUCGGCGGUUGGGGAUGGACUCGCGGCUUAUCAGCUUGUUGGUGGGGUAGUGGCUUACCAAGGCUUUGACGGGUAGCCGGCCUGAGAGGGUGACCGGCCACAUUGGGACUGAGAUACGGCCCAGACUCCUACGGGAGGCAGCAGUGGGGAAUAUUGCACAAUGGGCGGAAGCCUGAAGCAGCAACGCCGCGUGCGGGAUGACGGCCUUCGGGUUGUAAACCGCUUUCGCCUGUGACGAAGCGUGAGUGACGGUAAUGGGUAAAGAAGCACCGGCUAACUACGUG
rnacentral:rRNA from 1 species